UAUGUGAAUCUGAGGCCCCAAAAUGGGAUGUGACUUCCUAAAUAUCACUCAGCUAGUUAGAGCUUGGAUCAGCCCGAUCUCCUGACUGUCCUAGAUGUUAGCAUGGCAUCUCAAGCUUCUCUCCCAUAGGGCAGGGGACAUGUGCCCUACCCAACCCCUCAGCUGGAAGAAGGCAGCCAUAAGCAAGAAACUUUCAAACAGCAUGUGACUACUGCCUUCUCAUGUAGAGUCUACUUUUUGACUAGAAAAUUCUUCCCCUCUCUUAGCUCUUUCACCCAGGUAACUUCAACAGGAGUACAUCCUUAAACUUCUUGUGGGGAGGGGAGCCGACACCUAUCCUAGAUUCUAAUCUAAGCCCCAUGAGGUCAAUCUUGUUCACUCGAGAGCCUAGCACAGUAUCUGGCAAACAACCUUCACUUGGGCUCUUGCUGUAUGUCGUCAUAUACCAUGCUAGGUACUUUAAAUGAUAUCACUACACCCUUAGGUAGA